UACGUAGGGACCAAGCGUUGUUCGGAUUUACUGGGCGUAAAGGGCGCGUAGGCGGCGUGACAAGUCACUUGUGAAAUCUCCGGGCUUAACUCGGAACGGCCAAGUGAUACUGUCAUGCUAGAGUGCAGAAAGGGCAAUCGGAAUUCUUGGUGUAGCGGUGAAAUGCGUAGAUAUCAAGAGGAACACCUGAGGCGAAGGCGGGUUGCUAGGCUGACACUGACGCUGACAGCGCGAAAGCGUGGGGAGCAAACAGG
rnacentral:rRNA from 1 species